rfam:Felis catus isolate Cinnamon breed Abyssinian chromosome B3, whole genome shotgun sequence.
GCCUAGCUGGCUCAGUCGGUAAAGCAUGAGACUCUUAAUCUCAGGGUUGUGAGUUCGAGCCCCAUACUGGGCA